rnacentral:rRNA from 1 species
UGGGGAAUAUUGCACAAUGGGCGCAAGCCUGAUGCAGCCAUGCCGCGUGUGUGAAGAAGGCCUUCGGGUUGUAAAGCACUUUCAGCGAGGAGGAAGGUGGUGAACUUAAUACGUUCAUCAAUUGACGUUACUCGCAGAAGAAGCACCGGCUAACUCCGUACCAGCAGCCGCGGUAAUACGGAGGGUGAAGCGUUAAUCGGAAUUACUGGGCGUAAAGCGCACGCAGGCGGUUUGUUAAGUCAGAUGUGAAAUCCCCGGGCUCAACCUGGGAACUGCAUUUGAAACUGGCAAGCUAGAGUCUCGUAGAGGGGGGUAGAAUUCCAGGUGUAGCGGUGAAAUGCGUAGAGAUCUGGAGGAAUACCGGUGGCGAAGGCGGCCCCCUGGACGAAGACUGACGCUCAGGUGCGAAAGCGUGGGGAGCAAACAGGAUUAGAUACCCUGGUAGUCCACGCUGUAAACGAUGUCGAUUUUGGAGGUUGUGCCCUUGAGGCGUGGCUUCCGGAGCUAACGCGUUAAAUCGACCGCCUGGGGAGUACGGCCGCAAGGUUAAAACUUAAAGG